rnacentral:rRNA from 1 species
UACGUAGGGGGCUAGCGUUGUCCGGAAUCAUUGGGCGUAAAGCGCGCGUAGGCGGCCAGAUAAGUCCGGUGUGAAAGUCACAGGCUCAACCUGUGAAUGCCGCUGGAAACUGUCUGGCUAGAGUCCGGAAGGGGCGAGUGGAAUUCCUGGUGUAGCGGUGAAAUGCGCAGAUAUCAGGAGGAACACCAAUGGCAAAGGCAGCUCGCUGGAACGGUACUGACGCUGAGGCGCGAAAGCGUGGGGAGCGAACAGG